AGAAACGUCAGAGCUUCAAAAGAAUGUGCAAGAACUGAAAAGAAACGUCUCGGCUUUAAGAGAUAAUUCGGUUUCAGGAGAUAUAAAGGAACUGGAGGAAAACGUCUCAGCAGAUUUAAAGAAACUAGAGACGAAG